GGGAGCUUAGCUCAUUGGUAGAGUACUUGCCUGCCAUACAAAAGGCCCUGGGUUUCAAACCCAGUACUUUUU
rnacentral:tRNA from 1 species